UUUUUCUUUUUUUCCUUUUUUUUUUGUUUUAAAAUUUUCCAUUUUAAGUUGGUUAUUUCUGAUUUAUAUUUAAAAGCAAAUAAUAAUGAUAUGGUAGGAGAUACACACCAAACAGGAUGUGUAAAUUAUUAUAUAAUAAGUAUUGUGCAAUAGCAAGAAAUUUUCAAUUGCACAGUAUUGCACAAUAGCAAGAAAUCUUCAAUUGCACAGUAUUGCGCAAUAGCAAGAAAUCUUCAAUUGCACAGUAUUGCGCAAUAGCAAGAAAUCUUCAAUUGCACAGUAUUGCGCAAUAGCAAGAAAUAUCCAAUAGCACAAUAUUGCGCAAUAGCAAGAAAUUGUCAAUUGUACAGUAUUGCGCAAUAGCAAGAAAUAAUCAAUUGCACAGUAUUGUGCAAAAGAAGAUACUUCGUAUAAAUUGCUUAUUUCUUGAUCAAUUUAAAUGGGGAUUUAUUCUUGAAUUCUUGGGGUUCUUUAAUAUGCUGAAUCUAACCGUGUAUUAAGUUUUUGGAUUUUGGGCCCCGUUUUUAAAUUGGUCCACAUUGAGGUCCAAAGGGUCCAAAAUUUAACUUUGUUUGAUUUCAUCAAAAAUUGAAUUAUUGGGGUUCUUUGAUAUGCCGAAUCUAACCGUGUAUUUAGAUUCUUAAUUUUUGGUUCUGUUUUCAAAUUGGUCUACAUAAAGGUCCAAAGGGUCCAAAAUUAAACUUAGUUUGAUUUCAACAAAAAUUGAAUAUAUGGGGUUCUUUGAUAUGCUGAAUCUAACCAUGUAUUUAGAUUUUUGAUUAUGGGCCCAGUUUUCAAGUUGGUCCAAAUCGGGGUCCAAAAUUAAACUUUGUUUGAUUUCAACUAAAAUUGAAUAUAUGGGGUUCUUUGAUAUGCUGAAUCUAACCAUGUAUUUAGAUUUUUGAUUAUGGGCCCAGUUUUCAAGUUGGUCCAAAUCGGGGUCCAAAAUUAAACUUUGUUUGAUUUCAACAAAAAUUGAAUAUAUGGGGUUCUUUGAUAUGCUGAAUCUAACCAUGUAUUUAGAUUUUUGAUUGUUGGGCCCCGUUAUCAACUUUGUCCACAUUGAGAUCAAAAGGGUCCAAAAUUAAACUUUGUUUGAUUUCAUCAAAAAUUGAAUAUAUGGGGUUCUUUGAUAUGCUGAAUCUAACCAUGUAUUUAGAUUUUUGAUUAUGGGCCCAGUUUUCAAGUUGGUCCAAAUCGGGGUCCAAAAUUAAACUUUGAUUUCAACAAAAAUUGAAUAUAUGGGGUUCUUUGAUAUGCUGAAUCUAACUGUGUAUUAAGUUUUUGGAUUUUGGGCCCCGUUUUAAAAUUGGUCCACAUUGAAGUCCAAAGGGUCCAAAAUUUAACUUUGUUUGAUUUCAUCAAAAAUUGAAUUAUUGGGGUUCUUUGAUAUGCCGAAUCUAACCGUGUAUUUAGAUUCUUAAUUUUUGGUUCCGUUUUCAAAUUGGUCUACAUAAAGGUCCAAAGGGUCCAAAAUUAAACUUAGUUUGAUUUUAACAAAAAUUGAAUUUUUAGGGUUCUUUGAUAUGCUGAAUCUAAACAUGUAUUUAGAUUUUUGAUUAUGGGCCCAGUUUUCAAGUUGGUCCAUAUCGGGGUCCAAAAUUAAACUUUGUUUGAUAUCAACAAAAAUUGAAUAUAUGGGGUUCUUUGAUAUGCUGAAUCUAACCAUGUAUUUAGAUUUUUGAUUUUUGGGCCCUGUUAUCAUUUUUGUCCACAUUGAGAUCAAAAGGGUCCCAAAUUAAACUUUGUUUGAUUUCAUCAAAAAUUGAAUUCUUGGGGUUCUUUGAUAUGCUGAAUCUAACCAUGUAUUUAGAUUUUGGAUAUUGGACCAUAAUAGGUGAAUGUCCAAUUUAAAAUUUUUAAGUUCUUAGACCACAUUCAUUCUGUGUCAGAAACCUAUGCUGUGUCAAAUAUUUAAUCACAAUCCAAAUUCAGAGCUGUAUCAAGCUUGAAUGUUGUGUCCAUACUUGCCCCAACUGUUCAGGGUUCGACCUCUGCGGUCGUAUCAAGCUGCGCCCUGCGGAGCAUUUUAUUUUAAUAGUCAUCAUUUUCUGAAUGCUUAAAUUCAUAAAAUUUGGUAAAAUCUGAUAAAAAUAGUCUCCUCUUUUAUGAAAUGACCAGGUAUAUUCUUGCGUAAUGUAAUUCAAUACAAGUGUUGGUUUCAUUCAUGAAGAUAGUUGAUAACUUUUAUGUGUGUUGACUAUAACCUGCCUUUGUUUGAUCAUUUCAUGAUUAUAUGCACUUUUAGUUGAAUAGUUUUGAUAAUGUAAAUAAUCAUUAACCGUCACAAAAUGGUAUCAUUAAGAAAUUAGGAAUUGUGGAAAUUAAGUCAAAAAAAAUUUCUCCUUUUGGUUUAACAAUUGUAGUUCGAUAUGAAAACUGAAUUAUCUAUAAACUUUAAGAAAUUGUUAUGAAAACACAGUUUGUAUAAUAUAGUGCAAAAUUUUAACCAUUUAAAGGAUGCAUAUUUACAUGAAUAAGUUUUAUUUGCUAAUUUCUGUCUUUAACAGUGUAAACUUGUUCGUUGUUACCACAUUGGCAUUGUAACAGUCAGAUACCUAAAUAGUGUUGUGUCAAUCAAGUAGUGUUGUAAUUCACUAUGUUUUAUACUUUGCAUCUUGGGUAAAUAUCUGUCUACCUUUUGUGGAGUUAUUGCCCAUGAAAUGUUGAUAUUUAACCUUGUUGGCAUUUCCUUGCUAAAAGGAUGAGAACAACAAGUUAUAUCUAUCCUAAAAAUUGAAAGAAAAAAUAUAUCAACCUGUUUUGGACAAGAUUUAUCUACUCUAAAACAAUUCACAUCCUUUUUUUGGAGUUAUUGCCCUUGAAAUGUUGUUUUUUGUCUCUCCUUGGCGGAGUCAAAAAGCGAGACUUAAGUAUGCUGUUUUCGGCGGCGGCGUCGUCAACAAUGUAUUAGUUUGUGAUUAGGUCUAGUUCAUGGUGAACCACUAGUGGUAGGUCAAUGAUAUUUGGUAUGCAGUUGUAUUAGCAUUGGCACAUCUCAUUACCAUGGAGAUUAUUUGACCCCGCCCUCUCAGUCAAGGUCUAUUGAUUUGAAACUUUUCAUAGUUUACAUGUAUUAAUUUUAUGAUUAGGUCAGUUCAAGGGGAACAUUGAGUGGUAGGCCAAUGUUAAUUGGUGUUCAGUUGUAUAAGCAUUAGCACAUCUCAUUUCCAUGGAGAAUAUUUGGCCCCCACCCCCUCAGUCAUGGUCUACUUACUUUGAAACUUUUGCUUAGUUUACAUGUAUUAGUUUGUGAUUAGAUCAGUUUAAGAUGCACUGCUAAUGUUAAGUCAAUGAUAUUUGGUAUGCAAAUUUAUUGGCAUUUGCAAGUAUCGUUCCCAUGGAGAUUAUAUAGCCCCACCCCUGAUCAUGGUUCAUUGACUUUGAAACUUUUACAUAGUUUACAAGUUAAUGUUUGUGUUUAGGUUUGUUUAAAGGGAACGACUUAUAAUAAGUCAAUGGUAUUUGGUAUGCAGUUGUAUUAGCAUUGGCACAUCUCAUUCCAUGGAGACUGUUUAGCCUUCAGUCAUGGUUCAUCAACUUUGAAUAUUUGCAUAACUUACAUGUUAAAGUAUUGCUAUUUUAAUUUCAACAUUUGCAUUAUCAAAAUUUCAAAAAGGCGAGACAUAUCGCUGUGAUAACAGUUCAUUACUUUUUUUUGUAGUUUUGAAUUGUUUUUGAAACUAAAUUGCAAAAAUGAUCAGCAACACAAGAGUAACUUAAAAUGUAAAAGUUCUUACUAGAGAACUGUUGAAUAUUAUAAGGUGAGCAAUACAGGCACAGGUUGUCUUAUAUUCAUGUACUAACAACAACUUUUUAGAAAUAUUAUUUAUUUGUAUAUUGAGAAAAAUUAUUGAAUCUUAUUUUUGUUUGUUCUCAUAACUUGAAUUGAGUUAGAUAGUUUAGUCCUCAAAGUGAAGUUUUAGUUUUAUUUAUUUUUUUUUAAAAGAACAAAAAUAUAGAACUAUAAUAUUACAGUUUUAGCAAGCAAAAAUUACUGAAAUAUGAUGGUCAUAGAUCAUUUUAAAAUGUAACAUUAAAAUUCCUUUUGUAAAUGGAAAUUACACUUAAGAAAUCUGGUGCAUGGCAGGAUCUUUUCCAAAUUUACCUUCAUCAGGAAUGUUAAAACUUAAAGUUCAAAAGCAAUGAUGUCUAAUUACUUGAGGAUCUAUAUGACUAAAAAUGGACAUUAAAAGAAUAAUUGAAACCCUCUAAGUUCAACUUUGCUUGAGGGAGUUGGAACCUUAGGUUCUUAAUUUUUUCUAAAUUUAUCAAUAGAAAGUUUUAGAUAAUGACAGUGGCAAAACAAUAUUUUUUACUUUAAUUGGAGAUACAUUAUACUGUAAAGUGAAAGAAAUUAUGUCGCUUAAUUAAAAUAGGAACUAUUGUAAGCCAUUUCAAUGUGAUCCUUUUGGCUGGUAACAUUUGAUUAAAAUUUACCAUUGUAAAGUCAAUCUAUGUGAUCUUUUUGGCAAUUCUGGACAGAAAAUGUGCAUUAACAAGAAGGUCAUUAGGUCAUACUACUUAUUUUUUUUAGAUAUGAACAGAAAAUAAUAUAAAAGAUAGGUUGAAAGAUUCAUGUGUACAAAGUACAAGUUCAUUAACAAAUGUUGUUCAAUCAUAUCAUCAAAUAAUGUUUGUUUGCAUCAAAUAAUUUCCAAUGGACAUAAAGCAAGCAACAAUCAGUUAUUCAUAUGUUUGUUAAAUAAUAAGCUUCUGUUUUAUUUUUGAGUUUGUGAUUUAAUUUGUAGUUUGAUAUUAACAAGAUUUAUGAGGUUUAUGAGGAUGUUGACCUGGUAAAUUAUUGUUGAAUGGAGUGAUAAAUGGAGUGUUAAUGAAAUUAUUUCUGGUAUUUGAUAUAUGGAACAAUCUUUUUACUUGCAUUAUAUUAAAAAAUCAAUAACUUGUGUUCAACACAUAAGAGCAGAAGUAAAAUUAUGUAAAUAUUCACUAUACUCAAUCCGGGGGGGAGUCUGAUUAUAAAUAUUUAUUUAUAGUAAAAUAUAUAUGUUUUGAAAUUCUAAAUUUUUAUCAGAUAUUUCAGCAUCUUAGUAAUCGAUAAGAUAGUAACAAAAGAUUUACAUGCACAUGCAUAUUGUACUAGUUAUAUUUGUAUAUUGGAUAUAAUGAUAAGAUAACAAAAACUAUACAAACUACACAAUACACUAUUUAUAUAUAGGAUAUAUUAAAUAUUUAUAGUGUUGAUUGUGUAUCAAGAUAUCAAAUUCUCUUAACAUUUUAAUUAAAUUCAUACCAGAAAUUUUUUAGUUCUUACUGUUUAUAGAAGAAACUUAAGUUUUCCUAUAAACAGAAUGGUUGUUUCUUACUUUUAUUGUGUAUUAUUUAUUUACUUUUAAGUUUUGUAAGAAUUAUAGAUGUAUCAAAUAAUGUAUUCUCAUUAUUGAGUUGACUCAUGAAUAAAUGUUUGUUUUUAUACUGAAAUAGAA